rnacentral:rRNA from 1 species
GAUGAACGCUAGCUACAGGCUUAACACAUGCAAGUCGAGGGACCGGCGCACGGGUGAGUAACACGUAUCCAACCUGCCCUUUACUCGGGGAUAGCCUUUCGAAAGAAAGAUUAAUACCCGAUAUAAAGGAUGGGGAUGCGUUCCAUUAGGUUGUUGGUGAGGUAACGGCCCACCAAGCCUUCGAUGGAUAGGGGUUCUGAGGGGAAGGUCCCCCACAUGUGAACUGCGACCCGGUCCAAACUCCGACGGGGGGCAGGAGGGAUGAAGAUUGGUCAAUGGGCGUUAGCCUGAACCAGCCAAGUAGCGUGAAGGAUGAAGGCUUAUUGGUCGUAAACUUCUUUUAUAUAAGAAUAUGUAUUAUAUGAAUAAGGAUCGGCUAACUCCGUGCCAGCAGCCGCGGUAAUAC